AAUAAAUUGUCUUUCUCUUUGCAAACUAUAUCAUCUCUAUCCCUUUCUCUUCUUUUGAUAAAAAUAAAUUGUCUUUCUCUUUGCAAAGUAUAUCAUCUCUAUCCCUUUCUCUUUUCAUCUUGAAACAGCAUAUGGCAAGAUAUAAGCACAAGGGUGGACAAGCAGAUUUGAAAAAACAGCAUGUUCUCGGGGUCACUACAAACCUUGUGGAUGCUUCAACUGUUUUCUAUGAAGAUUGAAGCUUCAAGGACAAUCAAUUUCAUUUCCAAUGAAUUCCAGUCAACUCCAACGACAAUUAUGCUAUUGCUACUGCUGAUCAGGUAGGAAAGCACCAUCUUCAUUGACUACAUUUGCACCAGUUAUUGUCCUUGUGAUGCUACAGUGCCUGUAUCAUAUAUCCUAAAUAUUAGGGCGCUCAACUUUAACAUCAUCAAGAGCUAUGUUUCUCAGCCAAGCUAUUGGCAGAGCUUGAGGUUGCAUGAUGGGGUCGUUAAGCUGUAGCAUUUUGUGCAACUUCUUUUGAGGACAUGCAUACUUCCGCGGUUACAAAACAACUGCUUGCACCUCUAUCUUUGAAGUAGGUGAGGCAGGGAAAAUGAGAAAUUUUGACUAAUCUAAUAAGUUCGAUGUGUCUAAAUAUCGUUUGUCUGAAUACUGAGACUAAUAUCAAGUAGAUAUGAUGUAGCAGAAAAGUUUUUCCCACUCCCACUGAUUACUUCAGAUAGAGGUAUGCCUAUUUUGCUAAGUCAGCAUCACACUAACUUAAUCUGUUUACAAAAGUAAAUAUAAUUUACCAUCUACAUGGAAAAAAGGACUACAAAUGAAUUUUCAGAAUGGUACUCUAUUGCAAAAGGAAGACUAUGCAUGACACAACAAGGUUAGUGUGUGUAGCUUACAUUCCAUUUCUGUUAGUCCAAUUAAAUAGAGUACCUGCUUUUAAAGUUGAUACAAAUUCUUAAUUUGAGGGCGAUAGAAUGAUGGAUGAACACUGCAUUGUCAAAAAUUGAUCUUAGAAAAAAUCUAUAUAUUUUUUAAUUUGCAUGUAUGAUUUAAGUUUUGAAAAUGAAAAGCAUAAAGGUCAUUGACCCUGAGACGAGUGCUGCAAUAAAAAAAGACAGAAAAACUUUGAUUCGGCUACAUAUUUAAUAGUAUAAACUAAAAGCCACACAGCCAUACGUAUAUAUAUAAAAUUGAUGUUAUUUUCUCCUCCAAACUCUUUUCAGGAGCUUUAGUGGUGAUAUUUGUAAAUGAACUAAAGCUAUUUUUUUAUUUUUGCUCAAAGUUAUAUGUGCUGAAAUGUACGAGUAUCAUAUGAAACAUUUGAAUUUCCACCUAUUUUGGAGAUGGUGAUGAUAUGAAGAAGCUUGAGGAGGAAAAGAUAUUGAAUUCGCCAAAAAACCCUAGCCCUAUUUGGAGUAUUACAUUGCAAUAUUGAAGAAAGUUUUGGAACAGAUUCGAGUGCUCUGCCUAACUUUAUGGCUCAGCAUAUGAAACAAAAAGCAAAAUGGAGGACAAACAAGAGCUGCAGAUUUAUGUCAUUCCAUGCGGACUCUGAAUUACUUUUAAGACCGGAUUCAUUUCUUUCUAGAUGUAUCGAAAAAGGAUUACCUUUAAGACCGAAUUCAUUUCUUUCUAGAUAUAUCGGAAAAGAGGCUCAAUGUGCCUACACUUGAUUUAUCAUAUCUUCCAAAGCAGACUUGUAAACCUUAAUAAUAUAAAUAAGACCCUUUUUAUUUUCUCUGUAAACUAAUGUUGUAUUAUUUGCCUAUGUGUUU